rnacentral:rRNA from 1 species
CCUACGGGUGGCAGCAGUGAGGAAUAUUGGUCAAUGGGCUUACGCCUGAACCAGCCAAGUCGCGUGAGGGAAGACUGCCCUAUGGGUUGUAAACCUCUUUUGUCAGGGAGCAAUUGGCGCUACAUGUAGCGUUAUCGAGAGUACCUGAAGAAAAAGCAUCGGCUAACUCCGUGCCAGCAGCCGCGGUAAUACGGAGGAUGCGAGCGUUAUCCGGAUUUAUUGGGUUUAAAGGGUGCGUAGGCGGAAUGCCAAGUCAGCGGUAAAAUCGCGGGGCUCAACCUCGCUCCGCCGUUGAAACUGGCGUUCUUGAGUGGGCGAGAAGUAUGCGGAAUGCGUGGUGUAGCGGUGAAAUGCAUAGAUAUCACGCAGAACACCGAUAGCGUAGGCAGGUUACUGGGACGGUUCUGACACUAAGGCACGAAAGCGUAGGGAGCAAACGGGAUUAGAUACCCGUGUAGUC